AGGUGGGAGGAUUGCUUGAGCCUGGGAGGUGGAGGUUGCAGUGAGCUGAGAUCAUGCCACUGCACUUCAGCUUGGGUGAUAGAGCAAGACCCUGUCUC
rnacentral:miRNA from 1 species